UACGUAGGGUGCAAGCGUUAAUCGGAAUUACUGGGCGUAAAGCGUGCGCAGGCGGUUUUGUAAGUCUGUCGUGAAAUCCCCGGGCUCAACCUGGGAAUUGCGAUGGAGACUGCAAGGCUAGAAUCUGGCAGAGGGGGGGUAGAAUUCCACGUGUAGCAGUGAAAUGCGUAGAGAUGUGGAGGAACACCGGAUGGCGAAGGCAGCCCCCUGGGUCAAGAUUGACGCUCAUGCACGAAAGCGUGGGGAGCAAACAGG
rnacentral:rRNA from 1 species